rnacentral:snRNA from 1 species
AGGUUUGCACAGCGGCAGUAUUGUAGACAAUGAGGCUUAUCAGAGGUAUGAUUACAGUUCAUUGAAAACUUUUCCAAUACCUUGCUGUGACAACUUGCCAUAUUGUUGGCAAUUGGCAAUUUUA